GGUUGUAGCUGAGUGGUAGAGCACUUGCCUCGCAUGCGUGAGGCCCUGGGUUCAGUCCCUAGCACCA
rnacentral:tRNA from 1 species